rnacentral:rRNA from 1 species
UACGUAGGGGGCAAGCGUUGUCCGGAAUCAUUGGGCGUAAAGCGCGUGUAGGCGGCUUGGUAAGUCUGCUCUGAAAGCCCGGGGCUCAACCCCGGGUCUGCAUUCGAUACGGGCAGGCUAGAGUUCGGUAGGGGAGAUCGGAAUUCCUGGUGUAGCGGUGAAAUGCGCAGAUAUCAGGAGGAACACCGGUGGCGAAGGCGGAUCUCUGGGCCGAUACUGACACUGAGAAGCGAAAGCAUGGGGAGCGAACAGG